GAUGAACGCUGGCGGCAUGCCUAAUACAUGCAAGUCGAACGGGAUAUCUUCGGAUAUCCAGUGGCGAACGGGUGAGUAACACGUAGGUAACCUGCCCAUGUGCCCGGGAUAACGCCUGGAAACGGGUGCUAAAACCGGAUAGGUAUCGCUUCUGCAUGGAAGAGAUAUUAAAGGAGCUGCAAGGCUCUAGAACAUGGAGUCGGACCUGGCGGUGCUAUUAGCGUGGGUUGGUGGAGGUAACGGUCCACCAAGGCGACGAUGCAUAGCCGGCCUGAGAGGGUGAACGGCCACAGUUGGGACUGAGACACGGACCCAAACUCCGUACGGGAGGCAGCAGUAGGGUAAUUUUUCGUCAAGUGGGGG
rnacentral:rRNA from 1 species